rnacentral:rRNA from 1 species
GCGGUGGAGCAUGUGGUUUAAUUCGACGCAACGCGAAGAACCUUACCAAGGCUUGACAUCCUACGAACCUUAAGGAAACUUAGGGUGCCCUUCGGGGAGCGUAGAGACAGGUGGUGCAUGGUUGUCGUCAGCUCGUGUCGUGAGAUGUUGGGUUAAGUCCCGCAACGAGCGCAACCCCUAUCUUUAGUUGCUAACAUUUAAGGUGAGCACUCUAGAGAGACUGCCGGUGACAAACCGGAGGAAGGUGGGAUGACGUCAAAUCAUCAUGCCCCUUAUGUCUUGGGCUACACACGUGCUACAAUGGCCGGUACAGACGGAAGCGAAGCCGCGAGGUGAAGCAAAUCCGAGAAAGCCGGUCUCAGUUCGGAUUGUUCUCUGCAACUCGAGAGCAUGAAGUCGGAAUCGCUAGUAAUCGCAGGUCAGCACACUGCGGUGAAUACGUUCCCGGGCCUU